rnacentral:rRNA from 1 species
UACGUAGGGGGCUAGCGUUGUCCGGAAUCAUUGGGCGUAAAGGGCGUGUAGGCGGUCCGGUAAGUCCGCUGUGAAAGUCGGGGGCUCAACCCUCGGAUGCCGGUGGAUACUGUCGGGCUUGAGUACGGAAGAGGCGAGUGGAAUUCCUGGUGUAGCGGUGAAAUGCGCAGAUAUCAGGAGGAACACCAGCGGCGAAGGCGCUGCUCUGGGCCGGUACUGACGCUGAGGAGCGAAAGCGUGGGGAGCGAACAGG